AAGUCUCAUAUAUUCAACGUGUCAAUUAGAAUCACCACACCAAAGUGUCAGGGUCAUGGUAAAAAUUAAUAAGGUAUUGGAUGUAAACUAAAGCAUAAGGAACGACUUAGCUGAAUAUCAGAGAACUUGUGAAGAUCUUAAAGAGCAACUAAAGCAUAAAGAAUUUCUUCUGGCUGCUAAUACUUGUAACCGUGUUGGUGGUCUUUGUUUGAAAUGUGCUCAGCAUGAAGCUGUUCUUUCCCAAACCCAUACUAAUGUUCAUAUGCAGACCAUCGAAAGACUGGUUAAAGAAAGAGAUGACUUGAUGUCUGCACUAGUUUCCGUAAGGAGCAGCUUGGCAGAUACGCAGCAAAGAGAAGCAAGUGCUUAUGAACAGGUGAAACAAGUUUUGCAAAUAUCCGAGGAAGCCAAUUUUGAAAAAACCAAGGC
rnacentral:sRNA from 1 species